AUUGAACGCUGGCGGCAGGCCUAACACAUGCAAGUCGAGCGGAUGAAGGGAGCUUGCUCCUGGAUUCAGCGGCGGACGGGUGAGUAAUGCCUAGGAAUCUGCCUGGUAGUGGGGGAUAACGUCCGUAAACGGGCGCUAAUACCGCAUACGUCCUGAGGGAGAAAGUGGGGGAUCUUCGGACCUCACGCUAUCAGAUGAGCCUAGGUCGGAUUAGCUAGUUGGUAGGGUAAAGGCCUACCAAGGCGACGAUCCGUAACUGGUCUGAGAGGAUGAUCAGUCACACUGGAACGUGGACACGGUCCAGACUCCUACGGGAGGCAGCAGUGGGGAAUAUUGGACAAUGGGCGAAAGCCUGAUCCAGCCAUGCCGCGUGUGUGAAGAAGGUCUUCGGAUUGUAAAGCACUUUAAGUUGGGAGGAAGGGCAGUAAGUUAAUACCUUGCUGUUUUGACGUUACCAACAGAAUAAGCACCGGCUAACUUCGUG
rnacentral:rRNA from 1 species